GUUCUGGUGCCAGCAGCCGCGGUAAUUCCAGCUCCAGUAGCGUAUAUUAAAGUUGCUGCAGUUAAAAAGCUCGUAGUUGAAUUUCUGUUUGUAAGAGUCGAAGCUUUACAGCUAAGAUUUCUUCGAACAUCUGUUUGCAAGCAUACGUUCGGCCUUCACUGGUUGGCUAUGUAAGCAAGCGCUUUACCUUGAGAAAAUUAGAGUGUUCCAGGCAGGCUUCAGCCGGAAUACAUUAGCAUGGAAUAAUGGAAUAGGACUGGGGACUAUUUAUUGGUUUGAGACUCCAGUAAUGAUUAAUAGGAACAGUCGGGGGCAUUGGUACUUAACAGUCAGAGGUGAAAUUCUUGGAUUUGUUAAAGACUAACUAAUGCGAAAGCAUUUGCCAAGCAUGUUUUCAUUAAUCAAGAACGAAAGUUAGGGGAUCAAAGACGAUUAGAUACCGUCCUAGUCUUAACUGUAAACGAUUCCAUCUUAGAAUUGGGUGAAUAUUUGAUGAUUCAUCCAGCGCUAUAAGAGAAAUCAAAGUCUUUGGGUUCUUGGUGGAGUACGAUCGCAAGAUUGAAACUUAAAGGAAUUGACGGUUUUGCACACCAUGGAGUGGAGCCUGUGGCUUAAUUUGACCCAACACUGGGAAACUCAUCAGGACAACAAAGUUUUAGGAUUGACAGAUUGAUAGCUCUUUCUUGAUUGACUUAAUGGUGGUGCAUGGCCGUUCUUAGUUGGUGGAGUGAUUUGUCUGGUUAAUUCCGUUAACGAACGAGACCUUAACCUACUAACUAGUACGACGUGACGAACGUUAGUUACUUCUUAGAGGGACAAUGUGUAUUUUUAACACAAGGAAGUUUAAGGCAAUAACAGGUCUGUGAUGCCCUUAGAUGUCCUGAGCCGCACACGCGCUACAAUGACACUUUCAAUAAGUUUUUGCUGGUCCGACAGGAUUUCGGCUAAUCUUUUUAGUAAGUGUCGUGCUAGGGAUAGAUCUUUGCAAUUGUGGAUCUUGAACGAGGAAUUCCUAGUAAGCACAAGUCAUCAGCUUGUGCUGAUUACGUCCCUGCAAAAUGUACACAUCGCCCGUCGCUUGCUCCGAUUGAGUAAUCUGGUGAGCCUUCUUGACUGAGUAAGUAAUUACGAAGAAAAUUAAGCAAACCAUAUUACUUAGAGGAUGAAGAAGUCGUA
rnacentral:rRNA from 1 species